rnacentral:rRNA from 1 species
UACGUAGGGUGCGAGCGUUGCCCGGAUUUAUUGGGCGUAAAGGGCGCGCAGGCGGCUACGCACGUCCGUUGUGAAAUCGCUCGGCUCAACUGGGCGGGGUCAGCGGAUACGGCGUAGCUGGAGCAAGCUAGGGGGCAAUGGAAUUCCCGGUGUAGUGGUGGAAUGCGUAGAUAUCAGGAGGAACACCAGUGGCGAAGGCGGUGUUCUGGGCCAGUACUGACGCUGAGGCGCGAAAGCGUGGGGAGCGAACAGG